rnacentral:tRNA from 1 species
GGAGAGGUCGCGUAGCCUGGUUUAGCGCGCACGCCUGGAGAGCGUGUGUACUCGUAAGAGUACCCAGGGUUCGAAUCCCUGCCUCUCCGCCA